GAUUCAGUAGUGUAGGGGUAUCAUGGGCGCUUGCCAUUCAGGGAGAUGAACGCAUGUUGCGCCCGACCCGGGUUCGAAUCCCGGCUGAAUCA